UACCAGCACCCCGAGUGGUCGGGACGUUUAUUGGGCCUAAAGCAUCCGUAGCCGGUUCUACAAGUCUUCCGUUAAAUCCAACUGCUUAACAGGUGGGCUGCGGAAGAUACUAUAGAGCUAGGAGGCGGGAGAGGCAAGCGGUACUCGAUGGGUAGGGGUAAAAUUCGUUGAUCCAUUGAAGACCACCAGUGGCGAAGGCGGCUUGCCAGAACGCGCUCGACGGUGAGGGAUGAAAGCUGGGGAGCAAACCGG
rnacentral:rRNA from 1 species